GUGCCUACGGGGGGCAGCAGUGGGGAAUAUUGCACAAUGGGGGGAACCCUGAUGCAGCGACGCCGCGUGGGUGAAGGAGUAUUUCGGUAUGUAAAGCCCUAUCAGCAGGGAAGAACAAUGACGGUACCUGACUAAGAAGCACCGGCUAAAUACGUGCCAGCAGCCGCGGUAAUACGUAUGGUGCAAGCGUUAUCCGGAUUUACUGGGUGUAAAGGGAGCGUAGACGGUGCAGCAAGUCUGAUGUGAAAGGUCGGGGCCCAACCCCGGGACUGCAUUGGAAACUGUUGAACUGGAGUACAGGAGAG
rnacentral:rRNA from 1 species